rnacentral:rRNA from 1 species
AACGGCGAGUGAAGCGGCAACAGCUCAAAUUUGAAAUCUGGCUUCGGCCCGAGUUGUAAUUUGCAGAGGAUGUUUAUGGUGCGGUACCUUCCGAGUUCCCUGGAACGGGACGCCACAGAGGGUGAGAGCCCCGUCUGGUUGGAUACCAAACCUGUGUUAAACUCCUUCAACGAGUCGAGUAGUUUGGGAAUGCUGCUCUAAAUGGGAGGUAAAUCUCUUCUAAAGCUAAAUACCGGCCAGAGACCGAUAGCGCACAAGUAGAGUGAUCGAAAGAUGAAAAGCACCUUGAAAAGGGGGUUAAACAGUACGUGAAAUUGUUAAAAGGGAAGCGUUUAUGACCAGACUUGUGUCGUGUGGCUCAUCCGAGGUUCUCCCCGGUGCACUCCACACGGCUCAGGCCAACAUCGGUUCUCGUUGGGGGAUAAGAACAGUAGGAACGUGGCCCUCUUCGGAGGGUGUUAUAGCCUGCUGUACGAUACCCUGAUGGGGACCGAGGACCGCGCUUCGGCUAGGAUGUUGGCGUAAUGGUCAUUAGCGACCCGUCUUGAAACACGGACCAAGGAGUCGUCCAUUAGAGCGAGCGUUUGGGUGUAAAACCCGCACGCGUAAUGAAAGUGAAAUUAGGUGAGAGCUUCGGCGCAUCAUCGACCGAUCCUGAAGUUUACGGAUGGAUUUGAGUAAGAGUUUUAACGGACGGACCCGAAAGACAGUGAACUAUGCUUGAAUAGGGUGAAGCCAGAGGAAACUCUGGUGGAGGCUCGCAGCGGUUCUGACGUGCAAAUCGAUCGUCAAAUUUGAGCAUGGGGGCGAAAGACUAAUCGAACUGUCUAGUAGCUGGUUACCGCCGAAGUUUCCCUCAGGAUAGCAGUGUUGACCUUCAGUUUUAUGAGGUAAAGCGAAUGAUUAGGGACUCGGGGGCGCUUAUUAGCCUUCAUCCAUUCUCAAACUUUAAAUAUGUAAGAAGCCCUUGUUACUUAA